rnacentral:tRNA from 1 species
GGGCUGGUAGAUCAACGGUAGAUCGCCGCCAUGGCAAGGCGGAGGCUCCGGGUUCAAAUCCCGGCCAGUCCA